GAAAGCAAAGUAUGUAUAUUUGUAUGCUUUGACUCUGAUCCGAGAAUGUUUAGUUCAUACUUGAAAUGAAAAUCAGAAUAAAAAUUUACGAUUUUUGAAAGAAGAUUUUGAUUAAGAAAAAUGAAACUGAUAAAGAGAGAGGAAAUAGGUGUCGGUAAAAAAGAAUUUUGAAUAAUUUACUAUAAAAUGAACUAAUCAGAAAUUUAAAGCCGGAUUGAACUAUAAAUAGAUUUAGUCAUCUCCAUUCCGGGAUGGAAUGAAAACCGAAAUUCGAUUCUUAUAAAAUAAAUAACAAUUAUCGAACUCAAUGAAUUUUAUUAUAAUAUUAUAAUUUAAAAUAGGUGAAUCAAACGUAUACUUCUUGAUCAGUACCGUUUGGUUCGGGUAUAAGCAAGAACUAGCUAUUACAGGGAUAGGUACAAGUAUGGGGAUAAGAAAAAUAGUGUUUGGAUGAAAAUUGGGUUGUUCCCGGGAAUAAGAAUAAUUUUAGAUAGUUUUAUAUAGAAAAUGAAGGUGUUGGUGGAGAUAACCGAGAACUACUAUUCUCGGAUAAAAAAUUACCGUUUGGGUAUAAAGGGAGGAUAAAGGCCUAUUCGUAUUCCUAUUCUCUAACCAAACGCUUCAGAGUCUCUAGCCAUGGAAAAGAUGAAUUUUAA
rnacentral:lncRNA from 1 species